AUUAUUUCUUAAUCCAUUUAUACAGUAUUUAUUAACUAUUUCAAUUUGAUUAUAACCUGAUUUAACUCUGAUUUGCAUGCUGUAAUAUGAUACAAAAGUGUUGACUGAUAGUAACCGGACAGUGAACAAUAAUAGAUAGCGAGUAAGUUUGCAUAAGAAGUUUGUGUCUGUAUGACAGGAGUGCGUGCUUUCAAGCUGUAGAGACCCACUCUUCAGGUAUUUAUUGAUCAUUUGUAAUGUGUUUAUCGUUUAUUUUCCUAAUGAAGUAUUAUUGAAUGUAAC